rnacentral:lncRNA from 1 species
UCCGGGAAAGAGCUCUCAAGUCCGAUUUGUUUGUACGGGGAACAUGUGGUUGCAACCCCCUCUUUAAUUGCCUGUUCGCUUUUUUUGUUUGCAGUGUCGAAAAGGGAGUAAGACAGCAGUUUUAUCAAGAAGUUAUGUGAAAGUUCUGCUAUACAUCUGACAGCCAGGAAUUAUUCUGAAGUACACAUGUCGACCAGAGACAUGGAACAGAGAGGAGAGGUUUUAAAGUACCAGAUGCUUAUCUGAGAUUCCAAUUUGAACUAAAGAAAGCAAUAUAUAAAGAUAUGUAGGAGAAAUAAUCUAUAUGAAUAAAGUUAUGCCACAAAAGGAACUUGUUUUUUUAUAUAUACAGAAUUUGUCAAACGUAUCCAUAACAGAAGAGAUGUAAAUGCAUCCUUUAUAUAGCCUUGCAAUACUGAUGGUAAUAAUUUAUAUAAUUUCUGAGAUGAUAUAGCAGUGCCAUUGGUUUCCCUUUUUCCUUCUUCAAAGAACUUGAUCAUCUGAACUCUUUUUUUUAAAAUUGGAGCCCUGUUCAAGAACAGUUAAAAGAGCAUAUAUAUGCUUAAUUUUCGUUAUUUUUUAGAAUCAUCAUUUUUUUUAAAUGAAUCAGGUUGUACAUUCUACAUAAAAUAUGCCAGUCAACCGUAAAUGUUAACAUCCCAAAAAGGUCUUUAGUAUAUUCAUUUUUCAACUUACAGAAUAUGUCAAAGGUUUAAGCAUCCCAAAC